UUUUGAUCAGAGGCAAUAAAAAAUGGCAAUUUCCUUUUUCUGGUUUCGAGGAAAUUAUGACAUUCCUUCCUCAAAGACAGGUCAGAGGUCGGUCUUUCCAAGUUCCGACACGCAAAGAUAAAGACUACUCUAUGGAGGCCAUCAGGGGAAGAGAAACAAUAACUGUAUGAAGAUCAGCCACACUUUCCAACAAAUGUGCAGCACUGACUUGUUCUAUAGUCAUGGGCACCACCAACCCCCUCGAGGGUAACGUGAGGCCCGAUCCUGAUGUCUAGUUUCCAUUGUUUCGGGAGAGACCACCACACCGGGUGUGUUACAAUGACAGUGAGACAAAUAGGGCAGGUCAGGAAGAUUACUGCCAGUAAAAAUAGCUAUUCUUGCUCAGACAUAUUUUCACAUACAGUGUUUUCAUAGUCUUAUUAGACAAUAGCAGACAUGGCUGCAAACACACCCUGCUCACAUUGUUCGUGAUUCACUUCAUUCUUAACUACAUACAGAAAACGUCCAAAUGACUUUGUGAUACGUUUCAAAUCCAAAUACUUCACUCAAAACAUGCAGUUAUGCGGCCUCAUUCUCCAGAGAAGAAACGAUUGGAUUGAUUGAGAGACACAAAAGACACAUUCAGCGUACGCGUCUUCUUAGCAUUUUAGAUGUUUAUCUGAGUUACUCUUCAUCUUCUUCUUCGACCAAAACGCGAAACGCGGCGCUCCGCGUGCCAGACGCCGCCGGCGCGUGACCCGCGAGAGGCGGGAACACGGCGUCUGCGGAGCGGCUUCUCCGUGUGAUCAGCGACCGCGGCGGAAGGACCUGAAAAACCAGUAGUGUGUAAUGUCCCAGCGAGGGAGUCUCCUCACGCUGCUGCUCCCUCCUCCCCCUUGUUCCUCCUGUCCACUCUCUGCUCCGCUUCGCGUUAACGCACACAGCGGCCCCCUUCGCUUGUUGUUUAAAACGGUUUUUGCGGGUUUGUGUCCGUGCCGCGUGUGGGAUUGUCACCUGGGACCUAUUUUCUCUCCCGGUGUGGCCCCGACGCUUCUGCUCCUGCUUCCACGUCCCCUCUCGCGCCCAGCACAGCUGCGAGCCGCCAGCGCCUCCACCUUCUGGACUAUGCCCCCACCCGCCAGCUGAGGGAGGGGGGCUCUGCGCUGCUCGCGCUCCCACCUGGACGAAAGGCUCAAAUCAGACAGGAGACGGUUCGGUUGUUGCUGAAGAUGCAAGCGUCAACUGUCUCACCUGUGACCAACCCUUCAAACACAAGCAUCACGAAGACCAAAGAACAAAUACUCAUCCAGAGUUCGGGGGCAAUGAUCGCUGUCAUCGUCUUGGGAAUCAUCAUUAUUCUCGCCAUUCUCCUGAUAAUCCUGAAGACGUACAACAGGUAGGGCCCCAUUCCUGUGUGACAGGACAAUUACUGCAAAUAAAAGGUCACUGUUCCUGAAGCAAGCAAUGCUAUUUUUAGGCUGUUCAAGGAGGCGCUUGCUGCUGCUUCUAGUUUUUUAAAGCUGAUACAAAUAAUUGUCCAUAUCGACAUAUUCCUUUAGUUCUCAAACACAUUUAACUUAUUUUUUCAAUGCUGUUCUGCUCCUAGAUUGUAGUUUCAGUGAUUUGGCCUGAGCAAGUAAAACUUAUUACCUAAUUUGGACAAUAUUUCUCUAAAGUAGAAGUAUAAAAUAGAUCAACAUGGGAAUACUUUGUCCCUUCUUGCCAAAUAAGUCUGAUUUCCAUCAGAUUGAAUAUCUGACACGUUUCUAUGAAACUACUAAGGAAAUCUCACGAGCAAACAAUUACUGAACACCACAUGGAACGUUUCUGAUUAGUAGUGUGAGUGAAGGGACAUCAGGCUUUUUAUUGUGUUGCCAGGUGGACACAUGAAUCCCGGGUCCUGGGAGCCAGAGCCGGCUCCAAACCUCGUCCCAAGACUUCACAAUCCACAGUUCACAGCAGCAUCCCGCUGAGCCCCGUGGACAUCCACUCUGUGUCGGGAAGCAUCUUCAGCUCAAACCCCAUCUCGGAGAACUCCUUGCCGCUGCACCAGGCGGAGCUGAGCAGCGUGGAGGGAAACCACAUGGGGCAGUUGAGCACCAUCAGUGAAUCCAGUGGAAUCGCCACGAGCGAUUCUACAUCAGCCGCAAACACAUAGCGACCAGACUGUGGUUUAGUCUCACGAAAUGCACCCAGCGGCGUCUCCUCUCUGUCCCACGACCAUAUAUAUUGUAUGCCGACUGAAUCCUGUGGAUACUCCCAACGGGACGUUGGGGUUGUCACCGCCAAUCUCCACCAGCUGAGCCUCACUGCCACCGUCCCUACGAUGACACCGAGAUGUACUUGUGGUGUGCAAAAAUAGACGCUGUGAGCAAAAUGGUAACUUAAACAGACACGAUGGACUGCAUGAAGGAUGUUGCAUGAUGGGAGGCUAGAGACUUUAUUGAGAAGAAUUGCUUUUUGGCUACUGUCAGUGUUCAGAGUAAUGACGGCUAAGGUUUCUCCCCAAUGGUCCACGCAGAUCAAUAGUAAAAUAAUGAAGUAAAUGUGGAUUAAACACAGUUAUGGCUUGACUAGAUUGCUCUUAGUGUGUACAUUUCUGUAUUAAAGUUGACCACAUAUGGUGAUGAGUAAAUGUAGGAUUAAUAUAAAGUCAGAGAAGACAAAAACAGGAUGAAAUACACCAUCUAAGUGUGUGAUGGAUACCAUUAUGUUUUUUUUAAAUGUGUUGAUAUUACAGCAUUCAUUCUAAAUCUGCUUUACAUGGCAUUAUACUGUCUUUAUCUUCUGCUCACAGAUUAGAAAGAUUAGUUUUCAUUAAAGAAAUCUUUAAAUUGUUUUUUACUUGUAUAACAAAGAGACCAUAGAAAUAUUUUUAGAUAUAUGGGUGUCAGCUUAACAAUGUAAUGUAAAUCCUUUUUAGUUUGAAACAAAGGAUUUUGCACUUUAUUUCCAUUUCUCUCUGUAUUUGUAUUGUUUGUUGUUCUUUAAAUUAAAUAAGCUUAAAAUAAAUGAUAUUGCAAACUUUUGUCAAAAUGAAAUGCCAUGUGUAUGACACGAGGACGCAAGAUAUAAAUUAUUUUAAACCUCAGAAUAAAAAAUAAAACGGCAAUGAGGUAAUGUUGCACAUCAGCGUUCAGUUGUUGGUGUCAGUUAUAUCGCCCUCAACUGGUACUUUCUGGUACCAUAACAAACUGAAGCUAUAUUCAAGAUUUCAAGAAACGUUGCAAAAAUAUUGCGGUUAACGAAUGAGUCAUCAAGUUGUCUUUUGCUUUAUUUAAUACAUUUUAAUAUUCUGAUACGUCAUCUCUAUCAAUACAUGGUUACGGGAGCGUUACGAGAAUAGACAAACAAAUAGGUUUGAAACAGUUCAAAAAUAUUCCCCGUUGCGUGAUUUUUUACUUCAAACUGAGUUGUCUUGAAUGCACCCUGAAUCACUAACGAACGAUGGUGACCGCAGGUGAGUGGCCAACAAGCUCACUUACUUUCUAAAAUAUAUAUUUGCCAAGUAUUUUUAGCCCGAAUAUAUAAGUAGUCCUAUGCGUUCCGCUCAAGCUUGACUAAAUAUUAAGAGGACUUAAAGAAUCACGGCUAGCGCUACGGAAGCACGCUAGCGUUAGCCUAGCCUAAGAGGCUAUUCCGCUGUCGUCAUAGACCACUAGUUGGUCAUUAUUCCACACA
ensembl:lncRNA